GCAAGUCGAACGGCAGCACGAGAAAGCUUGCUUUCUUGGUGGCGAGUGGCGGACGGGUGAGUAACGCGUAGGAAUCUGCCUAGUAGCGGGGGACAACUCCGGGAAACCGGAGCUAAUACCGCAUACGCCCUACGGGGGAAAGAUGGCCUCUUCUUGAAAGCUAUCACUACUAGAUGAGCCUGCGUUAGAUUAGCUUGUUGGUGAGGUAAAGGCUCACCAAGGCAACGAUCUAUAGCUGGUCUGAGAGGAUGAUC
rnacentral:rRNA from 1 species